rnacentral:rRNA from 1 species
UACGUAGGGUGCGAGCGUUGUCCGGAAUUACUGGGCGUAAAGGGCUCGUAGGUGGCCAACUAAGUCGGACGUGAAAUCCCUCAGCUUAACUGGGGAACUGCGUCCGAUACUGGAUGGCUUGAGUUUGGGAGAGGGAUGCGGAAUUCCAGGUGUAGCGGUGAAAUGCGUAGAUAUCUGGAGGAACACCGGUGGCGAAGGCGGGUCUCUGGGCCGAUACUGACGCUGAGGAGCGAAAGCGUGGGGAGCGAACAGG